CGCAGCCGCGGGAAUACGAAGGGGGCUAGCGUUGUUCGGAUUUACUGGGCGUAAAGCGCACGUAGGCGGACUUUUAAGUCAGGGGUGAAAUCCCGGGGCUCAACCCCGGAACUGCCUUUGAUACUGGAAGUCUUGAGUAUGGUAGAGGUGAGUGGAAUUCCGAGUGUAGAGGUGAAAUUCGUAGAUAUUCGGAGGAACACCAGUGGCGAAGGCGGCUCACUGGACCAUUACUGACGCUGAGGUGCGAAAGCGUGGGGAGCAAACAGGAUUAGAUACCCCCGUAGUCCCUGUCUCUUAUACA
rnacentral:rRNA from 1 species